GAUGAACGCUGGCGGCGUGCUUAACACAUGCAAGUCGAACGGGAUCCAAGGAGCGUUUUUCGUUUUUUGGUGAGAGUGGCGAACGGGUGAGUAACACGUGAGUAACCUGUCCUUUUCUUUGGGAUAAGCUCCUGAAAGGGUGUUUAAUACCUUAUGUUCUGUCUGCCUCGCAUGGGGUGGGUGGGAAAGAUUUUUUCGGUGAAGGGUGGGCUCGCGGUCUAUCAGCUUGUUGGUGGGGUGAUGGCUUACCAAGGCUUUGACGGGUAGCCGGCCUGAGAGGGGGGGUGGAAAUGUGGGGCGGGAGAGACGCCCACGACGCGCGGGGGGGGGGGAGGUGGGGGAUGUGGCACAAGGGGGAAAAGCCGGAGCCGCGGGGGCGGGGGGGGGGAUGGGGGCCUUGGGUUUUUAAGUUUUUUUGGCUCAGAAGAAGGCUAAUCUUGGGGGGUUGUGGAGGGAGGGGGUGAAUAAGCGCCGGCUAACUCCGUG
rnacentral:rRNA from 1 species